rnacentral:rRNA from 1 species
GUGCGCGAACGGGGGCUUGGGCUCCUUAUUAGAGCGGCGAACUGGUGAGUACAAGAUGAAUAACGUACCCUUAAGUGGGGAAUAACCUCGGGAAACCGGGGAUAAUACCGCAUGUGUUCGACGGUUUAGUUAUCGUUGAACAAAGCAGCAAUGCGCUAAAGGAUCGGUUCAUCUCCCAUUAGCUAGUUGGUGUGGUAAUGGCGCACCAAGGCAACGAUGGCUAGCUGGUCUGAGAGGACGACCAGCCGCACUGGGACUGAGACACUGCCCAGACUCCUACGGGAGGCUGCAGUCGAGGAUCAUUCGCAAUGGGCGAAAGCCUGACGAUGCGACGCUGCGUGGAGGAUGAAGGCCCUCGGGUUGUAAACUCCUGUCAUGAGGGAAGAGGAGAGCGCCACUAACAUUGGCGCGAUUUGACGGUACCUCAAGAGGAAGCCACGGCUAACUCUGUGCCAGCAGCCGCGGUAAUACAGAGGUGGCGAGCGUUGUUCGGAUUUACUGGGCGUAAAGGGCGCGUAGGCCGCGCGGUAUGUCGGGUGUGAAAUCUCCGGGCCCAACCCGGAAAGUGCGCCCGAAACUGCCGCGCUCGAGUGCGGGAGGGGAGAUCGGAAUGCAGGGUGUAGCGGUGAAAUGCGUUGAUAUCCUGCAGAACACCGGUGGCGAAGGCGGAUCUCUGGAACGCAACUGACGCUGAGGCGCGAAAGUCGGGGGAGCAAACAGGAUUAGAUACCCUGGUAGUCCCGACCUUAAACGGUGCACACUUGGGGUGGGGGGAUUUCACCCCCCCGUCCCGGAGCUAACGCGUUAAGUGUGCCGCCUGGGGAGUACGGCCGCAAGGUUAAAACUCAAAGAAAUUGACGGGGGCCCGCACAAGCAGAGGAGCAUGUGGCUUAAUUCGAUGCAACGCGAAGAACCUUACCCGGGUUUGACAUGCAGCUGCACGGCCGGUGAAAGCCGGCCUCCUUCGAGGGUGCUGCACAGGUGCUGCAUGGCUGUCGUCAGUUCGUGCCGUGAGGUGUUUGGUUAAGUCCAGCAACGAACGCAACCCCUGUGUCCAGUUGCCAGCGCGUAAUGGCGGGAACUCUGGACAGACUGCCCGUUCACACGGGAGGAAGGUGGGGAUGACGUCAAGUCAGUAUGGCCCUUACGUCCGGGGCUGCACACGUGCUACAAUGGCCGGCACAAAGGGAAGCGAAGCCGCGAGGCCGAGCCAAUCCCCAGAACCGGCCCCAGUUCAGAUUGGGGUCCGCCCACCCGACCCCAUGAAGUCGGAUUUGCUAGUAACGGCGCAUCAGCUACGGCGCCGUGAAUACGUUCCCGGGCC